rnacentral:rRNA from 1 species
UUUGAUCCUGGCUCAGGAUGAACGCUGGCGGCGUGCUUAACACAUGCAAGUCGAACGAAGCAUAAGAGACAGAAUACUACGGUAGGAAGAUUUUUAUGACUGAGUGGCGGACGGGUGAGUAACGCGUGGGUAACCUGCCUCAUACAGGGGGAUAACAGUUAGAAAUGGCUGCUAAUACCGCAUAAGCGCACAGUACUGCAUGGUACAGUGUGAAAAACUCUGGUGGUAUGAGAUGGACCCGCGUCUGAUUAGCUAGUUGGUGAGGUAAGGGCUCACCAAGGCAACGAUCAGUAGCCGACCUGAGAGGGUGAACGGCCACAUUGGGACUGAGACACGGCCCAAACUCCUACGGGAGGCAGCAGUGGGGAAUAUUGCACAAUGGGGGGAACCCUGAUGCAGCGACGCCGCGUGAAGGAAGAAGUAUUUCGGUAUGUAAACUUCUAUCAGCAGGGAAGAAAAUGACGGUACCUGACUAAGAAGCCCCGGCUAACUACGUG